rnacentral:rRNA from 1 species
ACUCAAAUGAAUAGACGGGGGCCCGCACAAGCGGUGGAGCAUGUGGUUCAAUUCGACGCAACGCGAAGAACCUUACCUGGGCUCGAAGCGCAGUGGACCGGGGUGGAAACAUCCCUUUCCGCAAGGACUGCUGCGGAGGUGCUGCAUGGCUGUCGUCAGCUCGUGUCGUGAGAUGUUGGGUUAAGUCCCGCAACGAGCGCAACCCUUAUCUCUAGUUGCCAUCGGGUUAUGCCGGGCACUCUAGCGAAACCGCCUCGGAUAACGGGGAGGAAGGUGGGGAUGACGUCAAGUCCUCAUGGCCUUUAUGUCCAGGGCUACACACGUGCUACAAUGGUCGGUACAAAACGUCGCAAACCCGCGAGGGGGAGCUAAUCGGAAAAAGCCGGCCUCAGUUCGGAUUGGAGUCUGCAAUUCGACUCCAUGAAGCUGGAAUCGCUAGUAAUCGCAGAUCAGAACGCUGCGGUGAAUACGUUCCCGGGCCUUGCACACACCGCCCGU